rnacentral:lncRNA from 1 species
GACAUCAAUAUUUUAUUUAUAAUCAUAAAGGAAAAAUUGCAAUUUAACAAACAUCCCAAAAUAAAAUCCCAAUUUAAUCCUCUAAGGAUCCCUACACAUGUUCUCACUAAUCCCCAACUGUGAAUAACUCAUCCCUUACAUCUAAGCGGGCUCACGUGUCUUCAGUCAGCGAUAGCAACAUCUCUAGCGGUUCCCGGAAAUUCUUUCAAUUAUUCAUCCGACUGCUCCGAUAGAAUUCCCAAACGUCAGAGAGACGGAGAAGAGAUUGAAACCUCCACUUGUACUGUCUUCAUACGAUUCCUUUUUCUCCCUACACGAAUAUUGUCUCGCAAAUCCCAACGGUGGAAGCGUGCGGAAUUGAAUUUCGAACAACAUAUCCAAAUUUAACAAUAAUCCAACGGUUAACGAAACCGGGAUCGUAGUUUUACCAAGACAGCUCUGGGUUUCUGCGGGAAAGAAAAAGGCUACAAUGCGAAGGGUUUUUCUCUCAUUUAAGACCUGAUAUCGAAAUUCCCAACGGUGAGAAUGCUCGGAAUUGUGUUGCGAACAUGAUACUCAAAUUUCACGACGAUCCAACGGUGAACGGGUUCGAGAUUGUCGUUUUUCUGAGACUUGUUUGGUGGGCUGCGGGAAAAAGAAAGGGUUUUGAGAGAAGGGGAAAAA